ensembl:snRNA U6 U6 spliceosomal RNA
UCACUUCAGCAGUACAUAUACUAACAUUGGAACGGUACAGAAAAGAUUCAUGUAGCCCCAGCACAAGGGUGUACGGAAAUUCAUGAAGCAGUCUAUAUUUUU